rnacentral:rRNA from 1 species
CAGAACAGCUGGCGGCGUGCUUACACAUGCAAGUNCGAGCGGAAAGGCUCCUUUCGGGGGGUACUCGAGCGGCGAACGGGUGAGUAACACGUGAGUAAUCUGCCCUCUACUCUGGGAUAACUGCUUGAAAGGGUGGCUAAUACCGGAUGUUCACUGUCUCCUGCAUGGGGGGUGGUGGAAAGCUUUUGUGGUGGGGGAUGUGCUCGCGGCCUAUCAGCUUGUUGGUGGGGUAAUGGCCUACCAAGGCUUUGACGGGUAGCCGGCCUGAGAGGGUGACCGGCCACACUGGGACUGAGACACGGCCCAGACUCCUACGGGAGGCAGCAGUGGGGAAUAUUGGACAAUGGGCGGAAGCCUGAUCCAGCAACGCCGCGUGAGGGAUGACGGCCUUCGGGUUGUAAACCUCUUUCAGCACAGACGAAGCUUGUUCCACGUGUGGGGUGGGUGACGGUAUGUGCAGAAGAAGCACCGGCCAACUACGUGCCAGCAGCCGCGGUAAUACGUAGGGUGCGAGCGUUGUCCGGAAUUAUUGGGCGUAAAGGGCUCGUAGGCGGUUUGUCGCGUCGGGAGUGAAAUCCACUGGCUUAACUGGUGGCUUGCUUUCGAUACGGGCAGACUGGAGGUAUGCAGGGGAGAACGGAAUUCCUGGUGUAGCGGUGAAAUGCGCAGAUAUCA